ACACCUUUAAGACAAUUAAUUUUGGUCUGUACCCUUCUAUAAAAUAAUUCAAGUUCUCAACAAACCUCCAAUACAUAAAGCAAAGUUACUUUUACCAUACGCAAAUUUCAGAUCAAAAUACAACACUCUGUUUUCUUACAUUUAUAAAACCCGGUCAAAUACAAACAACAUUAAAAAAGAUAAAACACUUUCACUGAUCCUUGGUACAAUAUUACAGCACAAUUUGCACAGUGGCAACUAAGUCCCCAAAGCACAAUCAAAUACUUUAAAAAGGGAACCUCCCUUUAGUCACCCAACAUUAUACCGAACACGUAAACGAAGUGAGCGCUACUUAAUCCAGGAAAAUCCUCCUGUCCCUUUUCGUAUCGCGCGCGAGCCACAAAGCAAUUCCGCAAGGGAGGUUACCGGUAAGCAACCAAACAGCUUUCCUGCUUCGCUGUUACCAUUUUGUGUGCGACUACUCCAUGAAAAUAAAUGGAUGGAGGUGGACCAGACUCUGCACUGGGCAAUUUAUGGCAACUAAAGUAAACCAAGAAAUGUGUAUUCUUCUAAUAACAGAUCAUAAAAGCCUUAUUUUUUUUUAAAAAAAAAAAUAAAAAAAAAAUCAAUACCAAAUUAUCUGUGGGUACAAUUGGAGUAACUGCCUUUUUCUUCAUUUUCAAGACAUCUAAUGUAGACACAGAGUGUUUUCAAUUGUUGAGUUUGUUCCAUUGCAAAACCCAGUGUUUCAGCAAUAGGUCAAAGUGCCAUUAAAAUUGCACAUUUUUCUUCAAUUAUGAGAACAGAUGAUAGCAUGCAAUGUUGGUUUGUUACUACGCCUAAAAGCUUGCGCUUACACCAGCCUAUGAACGAUGGGGGAUCUCUUACGAAACAGAAACAAGAACAAAAAUUAAAAUGCAAACAUAAAAUGAUAAAACUGAAGUGUCAGUUGACAAACAUUCCCGGGAAGGUUCUACUUAGCAAGCCUUACAGUAACACCUCAAGAAGAGAAAGUAAAAUCGGAGCAGUACCAGAAGGGUCCAACGUCUCAAGCUCGGGUUAUGCUUUGCGUAGUAGGCAGUCGAGGCAACUGCACUGCAGUGCAACUACAGGGUAUUUUUGCCUGCAGCUCUGCAACCCCCUUCUUUUUUUCCCCCCACCCCCAAACCAUUGAUUUUACAAUUCAAUUGUAAGUUCAGUUACUUUAGUCUCAGCUAAUGUGAAAAUUUGUACAUAAUUAAACAAAACACUAAUGGAUGCAACUUUCCUCUCCUCCCUGCCCCAAACUCAAGUCACAUCCAUCAGGGUACCACACACUUCCCACAACUUUUCAUCUCUGUUAACAUUAGAAUUAUCCCGACAGAAUGAAGGAGAACCGCAUAGUGCACAACUAGUACCUAGUUAAAUAAUGCUCGAGUGUAAACUAAUACAGGAUGGAAACAGUUUAAAAAAAAUCCCAGAGAGUUACAGCAAAAACUUAAUUUGCUAAUUUAGUCUUUUAAGUGCCAUCGAAACACUGCGUACUGCCCUUCUCCGAAAGGAUCUCUCCGUAGUUAAGCUACGCUACUAGGCUUAUUCCCUUAAAGCUACAUACCCAUGCUAUAACUCAUUCUAUUGACUUAAUGCAAAUAUUUGUGGGGGGAAAAUUAAUUUACAGGGUUAAUUAAAAUCUUUGUAGUAUUCUGAAGGAAUGAUAGUAAAGGGAUCAAACAUGGAAAACGUGUUAAUAGACGUUUUUAAAAAUAUUUCCAAUAACUCUAACACAAAACAGCAAGUAUAUUUUGAAAAAUGCAUAGAAACCCUGUCGAUACAAAAAAUCCCCACUAAAGUUACACAACUAAGCAAUUUUAAUCUAAAUAUUUUAUGUGCUUUUCCUAUAAAGGCCACUUCGACAUACAAAUACAAAAAAAUUUACAUUUUUCCCCAAAAUAAAUUAUUUGUUCCUCAAUUAAAAAUACUGACUAGGGAAGCAUAACAACCCUCUCACAUGCCAGCUGCUCACCCGCAGCGGCUACUCCCGAAGAAGAAAAUCUCCAGAUAUUUUCAAUUACCAAAGGAAAUAAGAAACGCCUUCAGACUUUGUUCUGCCUAGCACUAGGAAAAACCUGGGGUUAGGAAUGGAGUAGGCUAAACCCCUUACACUGAAUGUGCUGGGGGACAUGAACAUACACAGGCACCCGCAGAGAGAUUUUCUGUGGUCUCCUGUGUUAUGCACCGAAAUCCCUUUUUGAAAUCAGAGAAAUAAAUCAAGGUUAACCUGAACUAAAGAAAGACAAAAUAGUAAAUGGAGUGGGGAGGGAGAAGCGGGGUGAGGUACAAGGUGGGUUAAGUGAGUGACAAACGAAGGCAAACUCCUCAGAAGCAAGCAUGUGAAGGGGAGAAGACACGAUCAUGGUAACUGGUAGAGAAGAGCUACUCACGGGAUGUAGGACCGGGGAAGACGGCAUACUGCUUUUAUUGGUAUUUAACAGGGGGAAGAAGAGGAACACAAGGAACAAACUUCACUGGAAAAACGAAGCAAUGGGAGAACAAAGAACCUUUACCAGCAGUCCUGACCACGUGGGCGUUUAUCCCUGAAUUGCCAUGGAAGCAGCAAAAUCACACUCAUAGACAUGCACAAGCGGUAGAAAUGAAAAUUUACUUGGACUGGAUUUGAGACGUCACAGGUAUUCUUUACCAUAAGCACCAGACCCACAACUGAACAACACAGGAACGUAAAAGCAAGACCUACAGCUACCUGGAGGGGUGCAGCAAACCCAAAACGCCUGACAUGCUCUAGAGCAGAGAGAUGCAAACGUGAAGUGCCCCCCGACUUACUCCAGGUGGUAAGCCACGCUGGUGGGUUUACAAGACAAGCUCCAACCAACACCGAUACGAGACUGACAGGAGGGAUACACAUAGACAGCACAUCAUUCAGACUCAAAGCACCUAAUAAACUGACAGACGAGGUGGGGGGAAGGAGGAAAACCAGCGAACAAGAGUUGAUUUGGAUGCAAGAUUCUUGGGCAGCCACUGAGUACAAGUUCUCCUAACCUUGGACCAAGGACUGGAUUUGGAAGGACACAAGAGCUUCUGUAUUGCAAGGAAUUCAGCUCUCUGGUGCGCUAUAUUGCAUAGUUUGAUUGAGGCCAAAGAGCAUUUGUGUCUUAUUUUUCCCUGGUUUUCACAGAAGUAACUCAACAUCCUCAGGUCAGAGCACUUUAAAGCCGGGCCCCAAGCAACACAGGAAAAUUUUGGGGUGGGCACAUAAACAAAUAAAAGCAAACACUCCAUUACCACACAAAGACCUGCAGAAAACGUACGCACAUAAAAAGCCUGUAACAGUAAACACAUCUGUAAUACAGAAGUCAACGCAUGACAGCUGGAUGAUGAGAAUAAACCUUGCUGUCAAGCUGCAUGCCAGCGAUAGUAAACAAGACCAGGUGAGUGUUUCUACCACACCACACUGACAUAUUUUUUGUAGAAAAAGCGGCAAUGUAUUCUGACAAUAUCCUGGUAACUACCAAGAUCUUAGAUUUGACAGAACGCUGACCCUUUAGGAGAGCAGCAGCCAUGUGGCAUUAUGUUCCAAUGCCCUCCUAUUACUUGGCUCGUGGAAUCGGAUAUCAUAAUUGUAUUAAUCAAUGUAGUUGCUAUUUCAUGCUCUUAUGCUAAAAUAGGGUAUUCGUACAGUACAAAGUCAGACUAAGUAUAUCAGUCAGCAUUUGCAUAAUAUGUGUUUCAGUUCUGUAGCCCAAUCCCACAAGAUUCAUGGUACUCAAUAAACACGGUUUACAGAGGGAAAAACUCUGAAGGUAGAAGACUCUAACGUGAGGAAAUUUUGCUUUUUUCCUUUUGAAGGCAAAAUUAAAACAAACUCAGUUUGUCAGGCUCCCACUUCAGAUUAUGAAACAGUAAUCAUGCAAACCGGGAAGCAGUUAUACACUUCUACUUUCUCAAAAAAAAAGUGCAGGGGAAAACCAGGUGGCCAGGACCUCCACUGUUUAGGCCAAUAUUUGCUGUUCCACCCUGCAGAAAUAGCUCCAGAGCCUCCAAUAUUUUCAGAUUUAAAUACAACAAAUGCAAAAUAUUCGAUCUCCUAUAACACUCAGCCCAUAAACCCUUAUGUCUUACCCUUAUGUAAGGGACAGGGUGGACUCAACCUUACCCACGCUGCCAGGGCACAGCCGCAAGGCUCAAACUGUGCACGAGCCUGGCAGUGGUAAACGUUGCUCUUCAGCCUUCCCUAAAACAAGAAGAUCAAGGAUUUGCAAGCUCAGUAGGGUUCUCUGUGGUCCCUCAUUUAUUGGCUGCUCUUCAGACAGUGCUGCAGGUGACACGGAUACUCCUCACGAAGGCCACCAGCCCAUGGUUCCUGGACAACAAUGGUCUGGACAAGUUAGGAUGGUCCAGGGGGCAGCACCCAACAUGUGAAGUAGGAGAACGACAAGGCAGUCUCUGGACUCUUUCCAAAAGGCCAAAGGGCUCUUGGAUUAACAAGACUGAGAAAUGCUACACCGCUGGGACUGUGAAGCCUACAAAAAGGCCAUAACCUGAUGUCUGGAGAUGGAAUGAGUUCAACCACCAACCCCCAAUCCUUCCUGCUGCUUCAGACAGGGCAGGAAUGUGAUAUUAUUUUUUUUUUGUCCUCCACAGAAUGAAAAAACUUUUAUCAAUGUUAAAUUACCAAAUCCCUAAACCCAACUGAUGAUAUGGAUUAAACAAAAAUAAAGACGGCACAAUAAGGACAACAAAGUUCCUACACAGGACUAAAAUUCUACUCCAUGGCUUGCACCUCCAAGAGCCUUCACAUCAGAGCUACCGAGCUGGCGUCACUGGGGCGAUGGCAGCAAUCGGUACCUUCCCUCCUUCUACCUCCUGAGCACCCGGGCGGCUAAACCCUCUGGGUGAGCAGACCUUGCCAGCCCUGCGCGUGCCUCUGAAACAAGGGCUGAACAGAUGAGGUCCGAGGCAAAGCCCACGCCUGGCCCAACAUCCAGAUGCUCCGACAGCCACGCGGGUCAGCACUGUCGCAGGCACACAAGGAACAACACAGCCAGGUCCUGGGACCGAGCCCAAGAUGAUGAAUAUUUGCGGAAUAGCCACCAUGAUGCCAACAGCAGGCUCUGGAAUUAGCAGCCAACUGGUGCGGUCUGCAGAGACACGAAUAACUCCUUGGUUUAUCCCUACUAUUUGUGCAUGGCCAGUAAAAGUUUUGCUACAUUUAAUUCAAAAUUAGUAUGAGCUGCUACUUAAAAUUUUAAAGGAGAAUGUUCCCCAUGAAGCAUUUAUUGGUUUUGCCUUUACAAAGAAAGAAAAAAGGCAGGAUUUUCCCAUUACAGUUUGUGUUAUUAAGGCCUUUGACAGUUCAGAAGCUGUCUUUAUGAAAAGGACGCUUUUCAAAAAAAAAAAAAGACUGAAUACUCAAAAAAACCACCCAGAGAACAAACACAAGCUGAUUAUCAGCUGCUUAGGUUUGUACUUUAAGUAGUCAAGCACAGUGUAAGGAAUUCAAAAGUGUCAAAAUAGCACCUUUAGAAGCCAAAGAACACACUUUUUUUUUUUUUCUUUUUUUAAAAUUCUUCAAGCUAAGCAAAACCCCACAUACUUGAAGAUCCCAUAGAAAUGGGCAAAUACAUGAUCUCAGGUACGGAAGGUGGGAAUUCAUUUGGACAGUUUUUCCUCUGUAGGUGAGUAAGUGGAAAAAUUCCAUGGGGGAAAAAAAAAAAAUCCAGACUAGAUAUUACAGAAAAACCAGUGAAUCUCUCUACUGAGCUAAUGGAUCAAGUUCACAGGCGAAACAGUGCAGAGUGGAGGCAGAGAGAAAACUAUCUGAUCUGUCCUUAAAACAGCAGAGACUUCUAUUUUUUUAAAUAGAUUUUUUCCUCUUUAAAAAUUGUCAGGACAGUCUUUGAAUUGCUUCUCUCAUUUGCAAGUAUAAUAGUUCCUUUCAAGUAAUAUACAUUUUUAUUUACUUUUUACAGCAGCUGCAGGUCAACCUUGGUCUUUUUGUACAGAAACAUGCAUUUAAAAUGAAAUCGAAGUAAACUGUCCUUGGACAACAGCAUCAUUCUGCCCUGCUUCUUGUCUGCUUUUAGUUUUUUAUUGAAGGACAAAAUGCAAUUUAAAACAAAACAAAACAGAUUUGACAAAGUGCAAAGGAAAAAAAAAAAAAUGAGGUAGCUGGGAAUAGGGGCUUUUCCCCACGGAUGAGGUGGCAGGCUUCCCGCCACAAGCAACACGCGUACACGGAGUGGGCUACAUGUGUUCUACCUACAGGACUGCUUACAGAUGUUCAGGUGAUCUCUAACCUGCUGGCAUUAGGUUUACAAGCUUGAUGAAGAGUCAUUUCAUCAUGUAUUAAGCACUCUCCCCACAUACGACGAGCGGAGUACCAGGAUGCACGGAUGUGCAAAAAGCCAGUGCACAGAGAGAUCAAGUUUGUGUGGACGUGUGGACGUCCUCCAGCCCACGGGAGCUCUUCCUGGUGAUCACUGGCAAAAGCCAUGCAUUCACAAGUGCAUCUGGGGCAAGAGUGAAAGCAAAAUCCUGUUAAUAAGCGCAAAAGACAAAACACCCGAGACCAGAAAGCAGUGUUAGGCGUGGGGUACGCUCAGGAAUCUGCAUCUGUUGGUUUGACAGGGCUGUGGGGUCAGGUCUCAGCCAGCCGCAGCCUCGAGUCCGCUCUGGCACUCGACACGUCUGCAGCUGGGCAGCGUCCCAGCCGUGUUCCCGAACACCGAGGGCAGCAAGGGGUAGCAAUUACAUGAGCUUUGCCAAAAACGGCCUCUUGCCCCACCAGAUACACACAGCGGGCCAUGUGCAGUGUAAGGAAAAUCUUGUUUUACCGAUACUUUUCCUCCCCCCUUAACACUGUAAGGCUGCCUUCUAGGAGUCCACCAGAACACAGCUUGCUCUUUACAUCAAUUAAACUAAGAUAGGAUAGAACACUCACCACACAUUGCAAGAUGCAGUCUCAGACCCUUAAAUACAAAAAAGUUUCAAUUACAAGAAGCAAGUCAUUAGGUUUUGGAACUCGGGGAGGAAAAAAGAAAUGCUUAAAAUUGAUUUAGCAGCUGUUUCCCCAAGCAAACAAAAGCUAGAACAGAUCCUGGUUUCUCUAAGCAAUCCAGAAGUGUCCUUUGGACUAGUUUAAGGCUAGUUCUGAAAGGAUUUGAAAGUAUUUCUUAAGAGGGUACUCCUUGGCUUCCCUUCAGAAAGAAGCUUUAACAAGAGCUUUAAAGAACGUCAGCUCUGUUCAACUUGACCACCUUGCCAGAUACCCCAGUGUACUGCUUUACUUAUUCUAAUAAUUAAGCAGACUUUGCUUUUUAAGACCUAAAAAUAGCGAAACAAGCGACAAGGACGAUGAUGCUUUCCUGCUAUCGUGUGUACAUUAAUAAAACAGACAGUACCCAGCCGAAGCUUUAGCAUGCGAGACCAUUAAGGUGAGAAUCUCAACAGCAGCCAGGGGUAAGAUUUUUAUAGCAUGCUGCCUGUCGCACACGGCAAUUUAGACUUUCCAAAAUGGCUCUUGCCUUCAUCAGGUGCAAUAUUGUUCCACUUUUUUUUUUUUUUUUCUAUUCUGAAAUGAGUAGAGGUGGCAGCGUGCUAACAGAAUGCACAGAAAUUAUACUGGUAAAAGCAGCCCACUGCACAGCCUGCUUCACUGGUGUCCUUCAGGCUCUGACUGGGUUUAGAACUACAGAUGAAAGAAACCUUGCCCUUGACAAAACCAGAGGAUGUCUUAGCAUUAACCAAAAAGAAAGGAAGGAGGAAAGGCAAAGAAAAAAAAAAAAAAAUCAAGGGCAUUGGUGG